AUUGAACGCUGGCGGCAGGCCUAACACAUGCAAGUCGAGCGAGCGGCGGACGGUUGCGUAAUGUAUGGGGACUGCCCGAUAGAGGGGGAUAACUACUGGAAACGGUAGCUAAUACCGCAUACUAUUGGAUACCCCAUAUGGGAGUAGCUAGUAGGUGAGGUAAUGGCUCACCUAGGCGACGACCCCUAGCUGGUCUGAGAGGUUGAUCAGCCACACUGGGACUGAGAAACGGCCCAGACUCCUACGGAGGCAGCAGUGGGGAAUAUUGGGCAAUGGGCGCAAGCCUGAAGGAGCCAUGCCGCGUGUAUGAAGAAGGCCCUAGGGUUGUAAAAUACGUUCAGUCGGGAGGCGUUACCGACAGAAGAAGCACCGGCUAACUCCGUGCCAGCAGCCGCGGUAAUUC
rnacentral:rRNA from 1 species